AUCAAAACUGCAGAUAUGAUUACACAGAGAAGGAAAGGUGGCAACUAUCAAUACUGAGAAACAAUAGCAUCUAGACAUUAGAACCAAACAUUAUACAUCUUCAGCUCAGAUAUUUUGCACUAUUGUGAUAAAGAGAAAGGGGAGCUCUGUGUUUCCCAACUCAAAAUGGGAUCGAGAGGUGCGAAGCAAGC